ensembl:lncRNA
AUCUAUUCCUUUUAAUCUGAUGGCAAGGAAGUGCUGCUACCCUUUCAGUUCUCCCAGAUUCGGCUUAAAAGGAUUGUUCAGAAUAAUUCUUUUCUAAUGCUGUUAUAAACUGUACUCAGCCUUACAAGAGUUCAAGAUUAUAGGCUCUGGUGUGUGAUUAGAAAUUAUAUUAAUAAGAGAAGGAAGACAGACUAGUCAAGGACCAGCCCUCUUGUUUGUAUCAGAAAAUUGAUGUUUGGUAAUCUAAAGGGACUUGACCAUGGCUAUUCAGUGGCUGAGGAGCUGAGCGGAGAAGUGAAAACACGUCUCUUGCGGCUUCCCUUGUGGCUCAGCUGGUAAAGAAUCUGCCUGCAAUGUGGGAGACCUGGGUUUGAUCCCUGCGUUGGGAAGAUCCUCUGGAGAAGGGAAAGGCUACUCACUCCAGUAUUCUGGCUUGGAGAAUAUCAUGGACUGUAUAGUCCAU